rnacentral:lncRNA from 1 species
ACUCUCUCUAAUUUACUAGAAACCAAACGGACUGUUUAGAAGCCCUCAGCCUGGCAGUCUGGGUUGGGUUUUUCUGGGGGGUGGGUUGGGGCGGGGGUUGUUUUAUUUUUUUGCUAUUCUCCUUUGACCAAAAGGGCCAUUAAUUGUUGGGAGUUUGAAAGCUACCUGAUUCCAUGAAACAGAGGGGAUUUCCAUGAGUAAUAAUUCAGACCGUGCUUGUGUAGGGCGCUGUGGCUCGAGUAAAUUGAUCCAGCUGCUUGCAAAGCUCAUGGAAAACGGCCCCGGGGAGAGGACGGCGGCGUCUGCAGCUGGGGCAGCUGCGGCCGCUGCUGGCGCUGUCACGUGGUCCCGCCGGCGUCCGCCCCCUGCGUCCCAUUCCCAGCUCCAGGCGCCCCCCAUCCCCCGCUGCCCGAACCCCCGGUUCCUCGAGAGGUCGUCGCCUUGCAGCCCUGGCUGAUUUCGAAGGCUAAAGGCGAUUCUUCAACACAAAUGGCGUCUUGCUCUGUCACCCAGGCUGGAGUGCAGUGGUGCGAUCUCGGCUCACUGCAACCUCUGCCCUUCUGGUUCAAGCAAUUCUCCCUGCCUCAGCCUGAGGUUUCUCCAGGACGUCACCUGUAUGAGGUACACAGUGUGAUGACACACUCUGUGCUUUUCCUACUUGUGUCCACGUGAGUGUCUGGAGCUGCCCUUCAAGGAGAGCAAUAGAUGAAUGAUUCUGCCUUCCCGCUGAGAGGGAUGUGGGUCCUGCGGAUGGUCGGGGUGAAGCUUCCUCUCCUUUCUGCUGACAGCACUUCCUCAUUAAAUGCAGAGAUCUGCAAAAAGGGAAAAUAAAAACACAAGAAGAAAAAUGAGGCAUCAAAGACCCUCCUCUUAUGCCCAUGGGGAUUUGGAGGACGGGUUAUUUCUUUGCUUUCCCAAAGGGCCCAAGAAGAGCUUCCGGGGAGAGGGAGAGCACCCUUUUUGAGGAUUCCCGACAAGCCUGUCUCCCGAGGGCUCCUGUAGGAGAGGCGGUAACUAGGGCGCAGAUCAUUUUCUGUGUUAAGGGCAUCCAAGGAGAGAAGAGAGUGACCGCCUAUGACUUGGGAGGCCCGUAAAGAUGGGGUCCUGGAUGAGCAGUAGCAAGGAGGGUACGGGGAUGGGUGUGCCUUGGGGGCUGGCAGUGAGGACGGCAUCGUCCCUAGAGAGUUUAAAGACAAGAAUCAAUCCAGCUCCAAGUGAGACUGCUUUUAAACCAUUUUAAUUGCCACACACCAGUAAGUUCAAGCAAUAUCAGUGAUAAAAUCUCCUUCCGUUGGGCAGCCAGUCCUUCUGCACCCUCCUGGUGUGUCCUGAGUAAGUGGGGUAGGGAGGAGCUAGUGUGGCCCGAAGACAAAGGAACCCGAGAUAUUUCUUUCCUCUUCCAAGCAAGAGAGGCUGGAGACAGCACAUGAGUGUUCAGGGAUCCUUGGGGGUCAAAAGAGUCACCUGAGAGAAAGGAAGAGAGGGGAACUGCCGCAGCUCAGUGAGGGGAACACCGCAGGCUCUGCCUCUCUUCCCCGGCUGUCUGGGAGGAGGGUCUGGAGUGGAGUCCAUGAGGGGCUGGGCGGGGCUGGGGCCCUACUUUGGAGGGAAUAUGGUAAGCAGACUGUACAGCCAAGCAGACAGUCCUGGAGGUUGAGGGCGUGACAAAGAACUGUAGCAUAUUCUGUGUGUAAAGACACCUUUGCCUUCUGUCCUGACCCGCAGACAGGUGCUUCUCCUGCCCUGCCGUGCUUCUGCCAUUUCUGGUGGAAAUAGCUCAAAAGACCCCUGCUUAUCCACAGAGCAGGGGCAUUUACCCAUUACAACCCCCUGGUGAAGUGACACGGUUAUGCCCAUUUCACAGACGAGGAAAUUGAGGCCCAGAAAGGGGCAGGAAACUUCCACAGCUGGGAAGCGGUGGAUCUGGGACUUGUUUGCCCCAGAGGCUGCCACCCUGGCACCUCACUGCCCUCAAAGGCUGACGGUGCCCCCAGCAGCUGUAACCAUUUCUUUCGAGUGCUUUUCAUUGUGUGGAAGAUCAUUUUGGGGGGUGCACAGAGCUCCCAGCUUAUUGUGAUUCAGCAAGACCCUGGCGUGUCACUUACGGGAGGUGGCCUUGCUGGGCAUAGUGCCGGCCAGCCAGAGACCCUCAGUGAACAGGGGGCGUUUCCAGAGGGCCUGGUGUUUUCUGCAUGGCAAGACUCCUACAGAGAGGCUGACCUGGUUUUCAGAGAGCAGUUUGCGUUUCGGGUGGCCCUGGGGGCACAUGUUCCCAUUGGAUUCCUGCACUGGAAGUAAGCUUGUGGGGCCGGGCUGCCAGCAGUGCCUGCCUUGUACCAGGGCUUUUUUGGUAUGGAAAACUUUAGAGAGGCGUCACCACCACCUCUUUUUUGCUCAGCAUUUGCUCAUCUCUCCCCACCUGCUUUUCAGGGCUCAAGCCUGGAAGAAGCCUUAGGACGUGGGGGAAAUGUCUAACGUGGAGUCCACCUGCUGAGCAGGACCGGGUGUGAAGGAAGAAGCUUUGUUCUGAUUCCUCAUGGCCCAGCCACCCCUCGCCUGAGCUGAGCCUGGCCACAGGGCCCGCCUGCAGGAAGGGCUGGCCCAUGGCUUCACACUGGGCUCAGGCUGCGCUAAGAGCCCCGGGUGAGGACCUCCAAGCCCAGGAAGCCUCAGUUGGCCAAAGUGCUAGAUGCGUGUGGUCUGCUUUCAUCCCCGCUUCCCUCAGAGCUUGCAUUUUCCAAAUUCAAGAGAGGCUCCACCUUCAAGAAGACCGGCCUGUCCCUGUUAUUUAUGUGUCCCCCUACCAUAUCUCCCUUUGUUCUGCAGAGCGGUACGCAUAAAAAGCUUUUGGGGA